rnacentral:rRNA from 1 species
UAGGGAAUCUUCGGCAAUGGGGGCAACCCUGACCGAGCAACGCCGCGUGAGUGAAGAAGGUUUUCGGAUCGUAAAGCCCUGUUGUAAGAGAAGAACGAGUGUGAGAGUGGAAAGUUCACGCUGUGACGGUAUCUUACCAGAAAGGGACGGCUAACUACGUGCCAGCAGCCGCGGUAAUACGUAGGUCCCGAGCGUUAUCCGGAUUUAUUGGGCGUAAAGCGAGCGCAGGCGGUUAGAUAAGUCUGAAGUUAAAGGCUGUGGCUUAACCAUAGUACGCUUUGGAAACUGUUUAACUUGAGUGCAGAAGGGGAGAGUGGAAUUCCAUGUGUAGCGGUGAAAUGCGUAGAUAUAUGGAGGAACACCGGUGGCGAAAGCGGCUCUCUGGUCUGUAACUGACGCUGAGGCUCGAAAGCGUGGGGAGCAAACAGGAUUAGAUACCCUGGUAGUCCACGCCGUANNGAUGAGUGCUAGGUGUUGGGUCCUUUCCGGGACUCAGUGNCGCAGCUAACGCAUUAANCACUCCGCCUGGGGAGUACNACCNCAANNNU